AUUGAACGCUGGCGGCAUGCUUUACACUUGCAAGUCGAACGGUAACAGGGUGCUUGCACCGCUGACGAGUGGCGAACGGGUGAGUAAUGCGUCGGAACGCACCGAGUAAUGGGGGAUAACGCAGCGAAAGUUGUGCUAAUACCGCAUACGCUCUGAGGAGGAAAGCGGGGGACCUUCGGGCCUCGCGUUAUUCGAGCGGCCGACGUCUGAUUAGCUAGUAGGUGAGGUAAGAGCUCACCUAGGCGACGAUCAGUAGCGGGUAUGAGAGGAUGAUCCGCCACACUGGGACUGAGACACGGCCCAGACUCCUACGGGAGGCAGCAGUGGGGAAUUUUGGACAAUGGGCGCAAGCCUGAUCCAGCCAUGCCGCGUGUCUGAAGAAGGCCUUCGGGUUGUAAAGGACUUUUGUCAGGGAGGAAAUCCCUAAGGUUAAUACCCUUGGGGGAUGACAGUACCUGAAGAAUAAGCACCGGCUAACUACGUGCCAGCCGCCGCCGUAA
rnacentral:rRNA from 1 species